rnacentral:rRNA from 1 species
GUGACCUCGGAUCAGGUAGGAUGC